rnacentral:rRNA from 1 species
ACGCUGGCGGCGUGCUUAACACAUGCAAGUCGAACGGUGAACACGGAGCUUGCUCUGUGGGAUCAGUGGCGAACGGGUGAGUAACACGUGAGCAACCUGCCCCUGACUCUGGGAUAAGCGCUGGAAACGGCGUCUAAUACUGGAUACGAGUAGCGGCCGCAUGGUCAGUUACUGGAAAGAUUUAUUGGUUGGGGAUGGGCUCGCGGCCUAUCAGCUUGUUGGUGAGGUAAUGGCUCACCAAGGCGUCGACGGGUAGCCGGCCUGAGAGGGUGACCGGCCACACUGGGACUGAGACACGGCCCAGACUCCUACGGGAGGCAGCAGUGGGGAAUAUUGCACAAUGGGCGGAAGCCUGAUGCAGCAACGCCGCGUGAGGGAUGACGGCCUUCGGGUUGUAAACCUCUUUUAGCAGGGAAGAAGCGAAAGUGACGGUACCUGCAGAAAAAGCACCGGCUAACUACGUGCCAGCAGCCGCGGUAAUACGUAGGGUGCAAGCGUUAUCCGGAAUUAUUGGGCGUAAAGAGCUCGUAGGCGGUUUGUCGCGUCUGCUGUGAAAUCCGGAGGCUCAACCUCCGGCCUGCAGUGGGUACGGGCAGACUAGAGUGCGGUAGGGGAGAUUGGAAUUCCUGGUGUAGCGGUGGAAUGCGCAGAUAUCAGGAGGAACACCGAUGGCGAAGGCAGAUCUCUGGGCCGUUACUGACGCUGAGGAGCGAAAGGGUGGGGAGCAAACAGGCUUAGAUACCCUGGUAGUCCACCCCGUAAACGUUGGGAACUAGUUGUGGGGUCCAUUCCACGGAUUCCGUGACGCAGCUAACGCAUUAAGUUCCCCGCCUGGGGAGUACGGCCGCAAGGCUAAAACUCAAAGGAAUUGACGGGGACCCGCACAAGCGGCGGAGCAUGCGGAUUAAUUCGAUGCAACGCGAAGAACCUUACCAAGGCUUGACAUAUACGAGAACGGGCCAGAAAUGGUCAA